rnacentral:piRNA from 1 species
UAAAUUCAGCUUCAAGGGUAUGCUAUC